UAUAUUAGAACUGCUUAAAUAUUUAACGAACAGUACAUGUUUUAUGAUUCAUCAGCAUUCCAGUACUGGGAAACACAACCUUACAGAUGGCAAUGCGUCAGGCAGAACUGCACUCUGGUGACACGCUUUUGUAUUAAGAUUUGAAGCGAAGUGUCUCGUGUGCUGACUCAUGGAAAGUUUUUGUUUGCCUGUGAGUGGAUUGUUUCUGUUCUCAUAAACACUGCAUCCAGAAACCAUCCUUGUUACAACUCAUUUCUUGAACUUUUACUCGGCCAUUGGCGAGGGACUGCUCUGCGCGUGCGGUUGAAUGCGAGAGAGAGAUUUCGUUCCUUUCUGACGGGAGUCUCAGAAGGCCGCGUGAAAUUACUGGACAUUACAUUUCAGAGCGCACUGAUGAAUAAAAUAUGAAGGCAACUGAACGCAAAAAGAUGGCCGCAGGUGCUGCGUGUGUCUGCUUAUUAACAGCGCAAAGAUGGAUGAAGCCUUCGUGAGGAGAGGGCAGGGAGCCAAGGUUAUUUCAUCGCUCUGCUGGAUACAAGCUAUCGACUGACUACUUUCAACAAUCGACAGAUUUC